rnacentral:lncRNA from 1 species
CUCAGUCGCGACAGACGAGAAGGAGUCGUCGGAGAGAAGGGGACCCGGGAGGGGGGUGUCUCAGAGUGGAGAGAGUUUUGGAAAAGAACUUUUAUCGCCCGAUGGCACCCGCAUGGCACCAUGGGAAAGAUUUCCUCCUUGAUGUUUAUUUUACCCUGAUACCGCCUGAGUGCCAAAGUCCACAACGUGAUUUUCAUCAGCCAAAUGCAGAAGAUUUGGAAGGCCGGUUAGUACCCUUCUCCAUCCCUAGGUUUCCUGAUGGAUGAUGCUGAAAGUAGUUCCAAAUCCCUGCCCCCCCCCGCAAAAAAAUCUAUGAUUUUUCUAACCACCUGAAUAUAGGUUAUUUCUCACCACCACCAGCUCUCCCUAAUUCUGUGAUAGGGCUCUUGGUUUGUAUUUCAUCCCAGAACUUUUUCAACAGGCAUUUGAGAAGAGGCCAGAGAGGUACUCCAGGGGAAAAAAUGGUUCUUGCCUUCUCUAAUCUGAAUGUUGAACUGAGCCCUGAACUGCUGCUUCUCCUUCCUCUUUUCCUUCUCC